AUGUAUUACUAUUCUGUAGCUAAUAUACCUUUUUAUUAUUUCAGUUUUGGUAACAUAAUAUCAAAUAUGAAAGUUGCCAGAUCUGCUACAGCCAGAGCUAGUACAAGACCAGAGCAUCAGAUUAAGUUUGAUGAAGGAUUUGACAAUUACGUUAGCUGGGAAAAGACUGCUGAUCUUAGAAAAAGACACCUCACCUUCACUUUGGAAUGUGGAAUUUGUGAAGCAGUUAGCCACAGUAAACAAACCAGUCCUUUUGGAAUGGGGUUCAAGAGAAGAUCCAGUGGACUAAAGAGGGUAAACUGUGGGAGUUCCCUAUUAACAAUGAAGCAGCAUUGAUCAUGAUAACGUGACAUCAGAAAGCUUGGAUGGAGCCUAAAGUGAAAGAUCAUUUGUGAGUUGAUUUCAACCACAAAGACAAAAUGCAAAGAUUAACAAACAAUCGUUUCUAUCGUUCUUUGGUAUGCUGGUUGAGAAAUAAGUAAGUCAUAUAAUCCAAAUGUACUGAAUUGUUUUUUUCCAGAAUAUUACAGGGGUACAAAUGUUUUGGCUACAUGAAUUGUACUGACUUUAAACAUAAUUCUUAGCCUUAGUUAAUGGAAUAGAGAAUACUCGUGUACCUUCUUUUGUAAUAACUGUUAACUGUAUGCAAGUAAAAUUUGGCAAACUCAUAAUUUAAAGACCUCAUUCUAUGCCUGAUUUUUCCUUAAAAAUACUACUUUGUAGGCAGUGUGAUAAUAUGCAUAUGCAGUCACUUUAACCACUUCGGUACCAGCACUGACUAUAGUUGAUAGCCACAGAUGAACACGCACAGCCAAGCGUCGAUUAUAGUCCAUAGCCACAGAUGGACGCAUGGACGCGCACAGCGACUUUAACCGACAGCCAUGACAUGAAGGCGCACAGCCAAACAUUGACUUUAGCUGACAGCCGUGAUAUAACUUUUCUAAUUUUGCAUUUAUCAAAAUAAAAUUGUGAACAUUUAAAAAUAACAUAAUGAAAACAUAUGUAUAUGUUACCUAUUCAGAUUUACAUUACAAGUAAAGCUGUCUGUAAAGUAAAACAAGCUUUCAGUGCUUUAAAGCUUUCCUCAUCACAUAAGAGCAAAACGGAUUCGUCGUCAAUGCAUAGCACAAAUUAUCGUGCAGACUAUGAGUGCCAGCUGUGGGCAAGGUUUUGUGGCUGUUGAGUGUGGUACCAAAGUGGUUAAGCUUUUCCUAUGGAGGCAGUUCAUUGCCCUAAUGGUGGAUGCUUUGUUCAAUGAUGGUGAGCUAGUGUUCUACUUAGGAAGUCAGUCCACAGAGAUGGUCUCUACAAGGGCUUCAGUUGCCCCAUCUUGAUUAACACCUGAAACAUUGUUAAUUACCACAGUGAAGGUAACCCCAUAAUCAUUAAAUAAGGCUGCCUAUGUCAGAAACUCAAAUUCUUGCCUUUUUGGUGGUCUGAAUAUCUUUCCCUGGUAUGAUUUAUUAUUGAAUAGUAAAUACAGUUGAUCUUCCUGUUGAAAAGCAGCAGAUACUAUAAAUGCCUUUCUUUUUGUAAAAGCUACUCUCCUUUUUCUAAGUCCUAGAUGGACUUCCAUGAGCCAUUCUUCUAGGACAUCAGAACUCCCACCUAGAAAGUUCCCUUUUUCAUGGAUCCUCAGCCCAGGCCAAGGGGAUUUGAUAAUCUGAACUCCAGCCCUUCUUUAUAAACAGACUGAAAGAAUAACAUAAUAUCAAUGUCUAUCUGUGCUUAAGAGUUUUGAGCUAUUGAUCAGAGUCCAAAAUUGGCUUAUGGAGGAGAACUUAAAGACAUAAAGAAAUACCAUUUAAGAUAUGUUUCCAAAGUGUGUUUCUCACACAUUUCUACUGUGAGAAAGAGGUUCUGUUUUCAAACAAGUUUAGGAACCUCAGCAUAACCUGGUUCCCUCCUAGAGAUUGCCUGUGCUUAUCAGCAGCAAAGAAAUAUGUGCAAUUUCUGAGAUUUACUAAAAUAUUUCAAAAGUUAGGAAAGUGUUAUGGUGACAGCAUGGGUUCUUAAGUCAGAUAGGUUCAAAUGAGGUCUGCCUCAUCCCAGGCUGGUGACAGUGGGCAAGUUACUCACCCUCUCUGACUCAUUUCUUUCAUCUGUAAAAUAGAGAUAACAAUAUUAUAGACCUCAUAGGAUUAUUAUGAGAGUUAAUGCAUUGUUAUAUGUAAAGCAUUUAGAAUAGCACCUAACACACAGGUGCUAUUAUUGUUAAUUCCUGUUAAUAUCUCCCAAACUAGUUUUCGAUUAUAUGUACUUCAGGAAAUGCUGGCUUAAUGAAACAUUUAUUUGUUUCUUUCCUACCAAUGACAACCAGGAAAUAGCCCUUGAUACUGGAAUGUUCAUUGUUCUGGAAUUUUCUUUCUUUUUCUCUGUAUCCUUUCAGAAGUCAGUACCUGAAUCCAACUCCUCAUCCCUGCGCUCUCAGGUCUUGUUCACAUUUUCAAAAUUGAUUCCAGAGUGGCCUGGAUGGUAAACAAAAUAAGGAAGAAGAAAGGGGAUGUAAUCAUGAAUGCUAUGCCUGCCUGUCUUCCUCCCUUCCUUUCUUCUCUUUCAAGUGAAUACACACACACACACACACACACACGCAGCUCAGAGGCUGCCACAGAAACUGCACCCUGCUGCACCCUGAAACUGUUUCUAUGGUUCCCAUCACAGUUCCUUAUGAUUUUACAUUUUUAUGUCAUGGAAUGCUGUCAGGAAGAAAAUCCUGAUUGCCUUCCAAAAUACCAAACUUUUAGUGUAUAUGAUUGUUACUCGUUAGCAGAGUUAUGGAUGUUUUAACAGCCUCUAAAAUAAAUUCCAGCAACAAUAACAACAACAGGUUAGUUGACUGAAAUGAGUGGUAAAAGGUAUUGACAGCAUCAAUAGAGGUACCAGGUUUCUAUAACCACUAUAAGAGUUUCUAGGUAACUUUCUUUCUUUUUGUAACUAAGUGGAAAAAAUAAGAAUAGGUCAGAAGAGGGACACUUCUUACUCACAGACCAUUGGGGAACCUUAGUUCAGUAGCAGACAAAACCCUUAGGAAACUAUCAUAAUGCCUGUGUCUGAGACUCUAUCAAGAAUGAGCCAAGAUGGGAGGAACAUUGAGCUUAGCAGUUUGAGACCAGCCUAAGCAAGAGCGAGACCUCAUUUCUAAAAAUAGAAAAAUUAACUGGGCGCAGUUGCUUGUGCUUAUAGUCCCAGCUAUUCAGGAGGCUGAGGCAGGAGGAUUGCUUGAGCCCAGGAGUUUGAAGUUGCAGUGAGCUAUGGAUGAUGCCACACUGCACUCUAGCCCAAGAUGACAAAAACAAGAUUCUAUCUAAAAAAAGAAUAAACCAAGAGAGGAGAGAAUCUUAUUUGGAAGCAAGAAGGUAGUACAGGGAACAAAAAAGCCCUCCAUGCAAAGAUAGGAGCUAAUAGACCCUUUAUCUGUCCCUCAACCUCAAGAGUUCUCUACCACCAUGUGAGGCUGGUGCCCCAAACGAAAACUACCAUCACAUUGGAUGGAGCUCCUGCCUCAAGCUUGAAGUUACUUGAUCCUAUCUGAGGGGCAGGAAAGAUAUCUACGAUUCACGAUGAGCACAAAAGUGGUAGAGGAACUUGAGAAAAUCAGUCUGAAUUUGAUGUGAAGCAAAAUUUAAGCUCAAAAUGCUGUUACAUGUGAUGGUUAGGUUCAGAAAUAAAAACUAUUUAAAUCUUGAUUCAUUAAACUUUUUGGACAGGCUUAAAAUUUUUCAUUCAAACAUAUAAAGACUUAUAUCUAGGGAAAAAUGAAAUAUUAGGUUCCAAAUAACUGAUUUAAAUGAGAAUUGUUUUAGGGCCAACAAACGUGUAAUUUGUAGAAUAACUAUAGCCAAUUUGAGCCAAAAUAAGUAAGUAUAUGAAUUUAUGUUGUUACUUACUAUAUUCCUUUCUAUCCUUUAGCACUAAUCACGAUAACGUGACAUCAGAAAGCUUGGAUGAAGUCAAAAGUGAAAGGUGAUGCCUUUAUACACACACACAUAUUUAGAUAUAUAUAUAUAUAUACACACACACAUAAACACACAUAUGCAUAUAUACACACACAUAUACAUAUGUAUAUAGAUAUGGAAAGAGAGGGAGAAAGACAGAAAGAUGGGGGGAAUUAAGAUUGGUGAAAUUCAGUUUCAGAAUUUUUCAUAGGAAACAGUUUUCAGGACAGUGAUUCUGAAAUUGUGUCUAAACAUUUAGGUCAUGUUUACUACAUCUUUUAGACUCAUACACAUCAUGGCUCAAAGUGGCAAAUCUCUAAUCAUAUGUUUUUGCAUUUGUUGAUAUUUACAGUGAAAUACAACUGCCAGGAUUCAAUGAUGUUGAUGAAGACAUUGACUAUCUUGCUUCAUAUGA
ensembl:lincRNA